AUUGAACGCUGGCGGCAGGCCUAACACAUGCAAGUCGAGCGGAUGAAGGGAGCUUGCUCCUGGAUUCAGCGGCGGACGGGUGAGUAAUGCCUAGGAAUCUGCCUGGUAGUGGGGGAUAACGUCCGGAAACGGGAGCUAAUACCGCACACGUCCUGAGGGAGAAAGUGGGGGAUCUUCGGACAUCACGCUAUCAGAUGAGCCUAGGUCGGAUUAGCUAGUUGGUGGGGUAAAGGCCUACCAAGGCGACGAUCCGUAACUGGUCUGAGAGGAUGAUCAGUCACACUGGAACUGAGACACGGUCCAGACUCCUACGGGAGGCAGCAGUGGGGAAUCUUGCACAAUGGGCGAAAGCCUGAUCCAGCCAUGCCGCGUGUGUGAAGAAGGUCUUCGGAUUGUAAAGCUCUUUAAGUUGGGAGGAAGGGCAGUAAGAUAAUCCCUUGCUGUUUUGACGUUACCAACAGAAUAAGCACCGGCUAACUUCGUG
rnacentral:rRNA from 1 species